ACCGGCUUUAACAUCAACGAAACGUUUCUUUACUUGGCUCGUCUCCCAAGAAAAGAAGCUUGUCGAGAAAAGCAAAAGAGAGAAACUCUAGCAGAGAGUUAGAUUACUUGUCUCUUACACACGCACGAAGGGUUUUAUAUUCGACAUUCAAGACAAUAACGAUGUUUCUCACCAGGACCGAGUAUGACAGAGGUGUCAACACCUUUUCUCCCGAAGGAAGAUUAUUUCAGGUUGAGUAUGCCAUUGAGGCCAUCAAGUUGGGUUCAACUGCAAUUGGGUUGAAGACAAAAGAUGGCGUUGUUCUGGCUGUUGAGAAGCGUAUUACUUCACCACUACUGG